AUUCAACUGACGAGUCACAAACAGGAUGAAACACAAGUCCUAAAU
rnacentral:hammerhead_ribozyme from 1 species